rnacentral:rRNA from 1 species
AUGAACGCUGGCGGCGUGCCUAAUACAUGCAAGUCGAGCGAACAGACGAGGAGCUUGCUCCUCUGACGUUAGCGGCGGACGGGUGAGUAUCACGUGGAUAACCUACCUAUAAGACUGGGAUAACUUCGGGAAACCGGAGCUAAUACCGGAUAAUAUAUUGAACCGCAUGGUUCAAUAGUGAAAGACGGUUUUGCUGUCACUUAUAGAUGGAUCCGCGCCGCAUUAGCUAGUUGGUAAGGUAACGGCUUACCAAGGCAACGAUGCGUAGCCGACCUGAGAGGGUGAUCGGCCACACUGGAACUGAGACACGGUCCAGACUCCUACGGGAGGCAGCAGUAGGGAAUCUUCCGCAAUGGGCGAAAGCCUGACGGAGCAACGCCGCGUGAAUGAUGAAGGUCUUCGGAUCGUAAAACUCUGUUAUUAGGGAAGAACAAAUGUGUAAGUAACUAUGCACGUCUUGACGGUACCUAAUCAGAAAGCCACGGCUAACUACGUG